GAUGAAGAACGCAGCGAAAAGCGAUAAGUAGUGUGAAUUGCAGAAUUCAGUGAAUCAUCGAAUCUUUGAACGCACAUUGCGCCCCUUGGUAUUCCAUGGGGCAUGCCUGUUCGAGCGUCAUUUGUACCUUCAAGCUUUGCUUGGUGUUGGGUGUUUGUCUCGCCUUUGCGUGUAGACUCGCCUUAAAAUAAUUGGCAGCCGGCGUAUUGAUUUCGGAGCGCAGUACAUCUCGCGCUUUGCACUCAUAACGACAGCGUCCAAAAGUACAUUUUACACUCUUGACCUCGGAUCAGGUAGGGAUACCCGCUGAACUUAAGCAUAUCAAUAAGCGGAGGA
rnacentral:misc_RNA from 1 species